AGAGACAGCAGUAGCCGGGGAAUACAGAGGGUGCGAGCGUUAAUCGGAUUUACUGGGCGUAAAGCGUGCGUAGGCGGCUUUUUAAGUCGGAUGUGAAAUCCCUGAGCUUAACUUAGGAAUUGCAUUCGAUACUGGGAAGCUAGAGUAUGGGAGAGGAUGGUAGAAUUCCAGGUGUAGCGGUGAAAUGCGUAGAGAUCUGGAGGAAUACCGAUGGCGAAGGCAGCCAUCUGGCCUAAUACUGACGCUGAGGUACGAAAGCAUGGGGAGCAAACAGGAUUAGAUACCCCUGUAGUCCCUGUCUCUUAUACA
rnacentral:rRNA from 1 species